UUAUAGUUUCUGGUCUUACAUUUAGGUCUUUAAUGCAUUUUGAGCAUAUCUUUGUGGAUGGUGUUAGGAAGUGUUCUAAUUUCAUUCUUUUACAAGUAGCUGUCCCGUUUUCCCAGUACUAUUUACUGAAGAGGCCGUCUUUGCCCCAUUGUAUAUUCUUGCCU